rnacentral:rRNA from 1 species
CAGUGGGGAAUAUUGCACAAUGGGCGCAAGCCUGAUGCAGCAACGCCGCGUGAGGGACGAAGGCCUUCGGGUUGUAAACCUCUUUUAGUAGGGAAGAAGCGACUGGGUUUUCCUGGGAGUGACGGUACCUGCAGAAAAAGCACCGGCUAACUACGUGCCAGCAGCCGCGGUAAUACGUAGGGUGCAAGCGUUGUCCGGAAUUAUUGGGCGUAAAGAGCUCGUAGGCGGUUUGUCGCGUCUGCUGUGAAAACCGAGGCUCAACCUCGGGCCUGCAGUGGGUACGGGCAGACUAGAGUGCGGUAGGGGAGAUUGGAAUUCCUGGUGUAGCGGUGGAAUGCGCAGAUAUCAGGAGGAACACCAAUGGCGAAGGCAGAUCUCUGGGCCGUAACUGACGCUGAGGAGCGAAAGCAUGGGGAGCGAACAGGAUUAGAUACCCUGGUAGUCCAUGCCGUAAACGUUGGGAACUAGAUGUGGGGACCAUUCCACGGUCUCCGUGUCGCAGCUAACGCAUUAAGUUCCCCGCCUGGGGAGUACGGCCGCAAGGCUAAAACUCAAAGGAAUUGACGGGGGCCCGCACAAGCGCGGAGCAUGCGGAUUAUUCGUGCAACGCGAAGAACCUUACCAAGGCUUGACAUAUACCGGAAACGGCUGGAAACAGUCGCCCCGCAAGGUCGGUAUACAGGUGGUGCAUGGUGUCGUCAGCUCGUGUCGUGAGAUGUUGGGUUAAGUCCCGCAACGAGCGCAACCCUCGUCCUAUGUUGCCAGCACGUAAUGGUGGGAACUCAUGGGAUACCGCCGGGGUCAACUCGGAGGAAGGUGGGGAUGACGUCAAAUCAUCAUGCCCC